AGCAGCCGCGGUAAUUCCAGCUCCAAUAGCGUAUAUUAAAGUUGUUGCAGUUAAAAAGCUCGUAGUUGAAUUUUAGGCCUGGCCAGGCGGUCCGUCUUUGGCGAGUACUGUCUUGUUGUCGGGUCUUCCUUCUGGUGAACCAGUAUGUCCUUUAUUGGGUGUGUUGGGGAGCCAGGACCAUUACCUUGAAAAAUUAGAGUGUUUAAAGCGGGCUAUUGCUUGAAUAGAUUAGCAUGGAAUAAUAGAAUAGGACGUUGUGGUUCUAUUUUGUUGGUUUCUAGGACCACCGUAAUGAUUAAUAGGGAUAGUUGGGGGCAUUAGUAUUCAAUUGUCAGAGGUGAAAUUCUUGGAUUUAUUGAAGACUAACUAUUGCGAAAGCAUUUGCCAAGGAUGUUUUCAUUAAUCAAGAACGAAAGUUAGGGGAUCGAAGACGAUCAGAUACCGUCGUAGUCUUAACCAUAAACUAUGCCGACUAGGG
rnacentral:rRNA from 1 species